ACAAGUGCUGAUUUUGAUAUUACUUUUGAUUCAUGACUGAAAUGUAUCAGUUUACUAGCAUCAAGACAUAUGCUGAUUUUGAUAUUAGUUUUGAUUGCCGAGGGCAUUGCAGGAAUCAAAUUCCAGCCCAUCGAGAGAGUGGAUCAUCAAGUGUUAGAGGAUGAGGAGGUGGAUAUGCCAGAGCCAGACACAUAUUGGGAACAAAAGUUGCCAAUUGAGUAUGAAGACUGAUACAAAUGUGAUGCUACAAUGAUUCGGAAGGAAAAGCCCAGGUUAUUACAGGUUUUUUCCAAGAGGGACAAAAGGGUAGAAAAGGAAAUCAACAAAGGGGUAGAAAAGGAAGGUGGCUAGAAGUCUGUUCAGGGAGAGAAGCUAAUAAAUAGAGGGAAUAUUUCUGUGAGAGAUGUCAAGUAUUUCCUUUGCAUUGUAAUUGGCUCCUGAUUAUUUAUUCAGUGAGAGAGGGCUUACGUUUAUCCCUGGGCAAUCUUAUGAUUGUGGAACAUUCUUCAUUUUGAUUCUAUAUAUCAAUACAUCAGCAUCAUUUCUUUCA